rnacentral:rRNA from 1 species
AUUGAACGCUGGCGGCAGGCCUAACACAUGCAAGUCGAACGAGUGGCGGACGGGUGAGUAAUGUAUGGGAAACUGCCCGAUGGAGGGGGAUAACUACUGGAAACGGUGGCUAAUACCGCAUACCAUCGGAUGUGCCUAGAUGGGAUUAGCUAGUAGGUGGGGUAAUGGCUCACCUAGGCGACGAUCCCUAGCUGGUCUGAGAGGAUGACCAGCCACACGGGAACUGAGACACGGUCCAGACUCCUACGGGAGGCAGCAGUGGGGAAUAUUGGACAAUGGGGGAAAGCCUGAUCCAGCCAUGCCGCGUGUAUGAAGAAGGCCUUCGGGUUGUAAAGUACUUUCGGCGGGGAAGCGGUACCUGCAGAAGAAGCACCGGCUAACUACGUGCCAGCAGCCGCGGUAAUUC